rnacentral:rRNA from 1 species
GAUGAACGCUGGCGGCGUGCCUAAUACAUGCAGGUCGAGCGAACGGACGAGAAGCUUGCUUCUCUGAUGUUAGCGGCGGACGGGUGAGUAACACGUGGAUAACCUACCUAUAAGACUGGGAUAACUUCGGGAAACCGGAGCUAAUACCGGAUGAUAUUUUGAACCGCAUGGUUCAAAAGUGAAAGACGGUCUUGCUGUCACUUAUAGAUGGAUCCGCGCUGCAUUAGCUAGUUGGUAAGGUAACGGCUUACCAAGGCAACGAUGCAUAGCCGACCUGAGAGGGUGAUCGGCCACACUGGAACUGAGACACGGUCCAGACUCCUACGGGAGGCAGCAGUAGGGAAUCUUCCGCAAUGGGCGAAAGCCUGACGGAGCAACGCCGCGUGAGUGAUGAAGGUCUUCGGAUCGUAAAACUCUGUUAUUAGGGAAGAACAUAUGUGUAAGUAACUGUGCGCAUCUUGACGGUACCUAAUCAGAAAGCCACGGCUAACUACGUG